rnacentral:tRNA from 1 species
GCGGGGGUUGCCAAGCCAGGUCAAAGGCGCGAGGCUCAGGACCUCGUCUCUUAGGGGUCCGUGGGUUCAAAUCCCACCCCCCGCA